CCGCUCCACCCUAAGUCCAACACUGAGUGCGGUUGUAUGGACAUGGCCCAAGGAGGGUGAAAGGCCCGUGGGGGUGGAGGCCAGACAGGUUGGUGUCGCUAUAUGAGUAGACCUUGGAGUCGGGUUGUUUGUGAAUGCAGCCCAAAGUGGGUGGUAAACUCCAUCCAAGGCUAAAUACUGACACGAGUCCGAUAGCAAACAAGUACCGUGAGGGAAAGUUGAAAAGUACUUUGAAGAGAGAGUAAACAGUGCGUGAAACCGUUCAGAGGUAAACGGGUGGAGUUGAACUGCAAGCUCUGAGGAUUCAGCUGGUGAGUGUGGUUUGAGCUUGGGUAUACUGGUCGGCCAAUCGAGUUCGCUUAGUUGCGGGUCCUUGUCUUUGGCAGGGAUGCAUGGGCACUUGUCAAGUGCUACGCGCUCGGAGUGGUUCACCGGGCCAAUUCACCAGUGCACUUUCUCAGAGUAGUCACCACGACCGGCGCUGCUGUUGGUCUACUGGUGUCAAACCUGACGGUUGGGGUCCUUGUGGCACUAAUCGUUGGGGACGGCAGGUGGCUCGUUGGCUUGUCUUUCGAGUGUUAUCAGCUGGCAUCAGUGGUAUUGUGCAGUGCGUCGGAGACGGCGGCUUGUGGUGUUGGCGUGCGUGCAUGCAUUGCUGACGGUGCCGGGUUUGGUUGCCAUGUUGCCUGUAAAAGCAGGCCUGGUGAUAGCUCGGUGUUGUUUGGCAGGCAGUGGCGUGUGUUACACUAUCACGAGGGCCUAUAGUCUGUGGUGCAGUGGUAGACCAUCCACCCGACCCGUCUUGAAACACGGACCAAGGAGAGUAACAUGUGCGCAAGUCAUUGGGCGUUACGAAACCCAAAGGCGUAGUGAAAGUAAAUGUUCGGCUUGUCCGAACUGAGGUGAGAUCCUGACGUUUCUCACGCGUGGUAUCACCAAGCAUACGAGCGUCAGGCGCAUCACCGGCCCGUCCCAUGGCGUAGACCCGCUUCUCGGAGUGGUGCAUCGUCGGGGUGGAGCAUGAGCGUACAUGUUGAGAC
rnacentral:rRNA from 1 species